GAUUGAGUUCUCUGUAGUCCACGUAGAGUCGGAGGGUACCAUCAUUUUUUUUUAUGAAGAACACCGAAGUGCCCCAAAGGAAUGGUUAGGGCGAAUGAGUUUCUGGGUGAUAAAAUUAGAAAGCUGAUGUUCUAGCUCUGUAAGCUCAGUGCAACUCAUGCGAUACGUGGGCUAUGAGAUCGGUUGGGUUUCAGGUAAUAAUUCAAUCAGAAACUCUACCUCACGUGGGGGAGGUAGACCAGGGAGUUCGAUGGGAAAGACAUCAGGAAAAUUGUAAACAAUGGGUAUGGGACACACAGCAGGAUCAGUGUCCAUAUUCCUGUUCAUUCAAUUGUUAAAAAAAAUGAUAACAACUUUUAUUUCUUUUC
rnacentral:lncRNA from 1 species